GGAGAGGUGUCCGAGUGGUUUAAGGUGCGGAUCUCGAAAGUCUGUGUGAGGUAACACUUACCGUGGGUUCGAAUCCCACCCUCUCCG
rnacentral:tRNA from 1 species